UAGCUCAAUCGGUAGAGCGUGAGACUCUUAAUCUCAAGGUUGUGGGUUCGACCCGN
rnacentral:tRNA from 1 species